UACGUAGGGUGCGAGCGUUGUCCGGAAUUAUUGGGCGUAAAGCGCUUGUAGGCGGCACGUCAAGUCGCGUGUGAAAUCCCCAGGCUUAACCUGGGAAGUGCGCGCGAAACUGACGAGCUUGAGUGCCGGAGAGGGUCGCGGAAUUCCCGGUGUAGAGGUGAAAUUCGUAGAUAUCGGGAGGAACACCAGUGGCGAAGGCGGCGACCUGGACGGACACUGACGCUGAGACGCGAAAGCGUGGGGAGCGAACAGG
rnacentral:rRNA from 1 species